ensembl:misc_RNA Metazoa_SRP Metazoan signal recognition particle RNA
GCCAGGUGUGGUAGCUCACACCUGUAAGCCCAGCUACUUGGGAGGCUGAGGCAGGAGGAUCACUUGAGCCCAGGAAUUCGAGGCUGCAGUGAGCCAUGAUAGUACCACUGCACUCCAGCCUGGGCAACAGUGCAAGACCCUGUCUCUA